UGCGUACAGACUGCUGGCUGGGCUAGGUUGCUCUGUGCUCCCGGCUCCCAAGUGACCUGCUGACCUGCUGCGCCACACAAGCGCAUUCCCGCUGCUGCUGAGCUGCUCAGAACCAUCCGCCCAGCUUGGAGACAGUUUCUAGCUGCCUAGAGUCGAGUAGGCCUCGGCUUUCAGCAGGGGCUUCCCCUGAUCACUACUGCCGUAAAAGUAAAGCCGCAUCUCUUUCAGUGGUUGCGGUUGCGGUAGCAAGGCCGUAUACUCUCUAAGAUAAUUGCAGUCGCUUUUGUGACCUCUUUCCACUGCUGACUGACCGCUGCUGCCAAACGCUGCACGGAGUAGCUGAACGCCUGUGUCACCUGCUGGUCAAAGAGAGUUACUGCAUCUGGAGUAGAAAUCAGUGAAGGAAAAAAGAAAGAGAAAAUUGAGAAGAAAGUUUCAAGACAGCAAAAAAUAUUCCCAAGACCUUUAUUUUACAAAAGAAUUCAUAGGAAUACAUAAGAAAUGCUACAACUCAGCAAGAAAGACAAAUUAACUUUAAAAAAGAUGUUAACAACAACAAAAAGCUCCGAGCUAUGUGCUUCACAAAUAUUUGUGCAAAACCAAUAAACACAUGGUAGGUACUUUACAUCAGAAGUAUGAGAAAGCUGACCUAGAAAGAAGGAAGAUUCCAUUCCACACACUAAGGAUGGAAACAAAUGCACAAGCAAAAUGGUUUUGGAGAAGAAUGAAUACAGCAUAUUCAACAAGAAUAGCCCCAAACUGGAAAGAGUGUUGAUGUCCAUCCACAAGCCUGAAAGAACAAACUAGGACAAAGAACCACACAGAGACUACUGGCCUCUUGUGCAAAGAACUACCCCCACCUCGACCGCUGACCUUGGACAUGCUAUCCUAAUUGAGCUUGCAGGAGAUAAACUUAAAGAAGACUGCUGAAUCCAAGACAGUUCUUCAGUUCCUCUGCUUCUGAGACGGUCCAUCUGAUAGUUUAGACCUUAACCAAAGUUGUAUGUCCUGAUGUUGCUGUGAGACCUUAGGAAGUUGCACGCUUGUACUUCCUGCUUACCCUAAUAUUGUUAUGUUCCCUCUCAGGUCUUUGAUGAGGUUGAAGAUUAGACAGUCAUAGCAAUACCCUCUUAUAUUUUUGUUUGUUUGUUCUUUGGUUUCUUGAGACAGGGUUUCUCUGUAGCUUUGGAGCCUAUCCUGGAACUUGCUCUGGAGACCAGGCUGGCCUCGAACUCACAGAGAUCCGCCUGCCUCUGCCUUCUGAGUGCUGGGAUUAAAGGUGUGGGCCACCACUGCCUGACUAUCCUAUCUUAUCUUAAUUAGACAAGAUUCAGACUUUCCAGAUUAGGACUGCUAUCAGAGUAAUCUCUGUCAUGCCUUUACUGGACUUGUAUACUGGAC
rnacentral:lncRNA from 1 species